GGACUACAGGGGUAUCUAAUCCUGUUUGCUCCCCACGCUUUCGUGCCUCAGCGUCAGUGUUAGCCCAGGGGGCUGCCUUCGCCAUCGGUGUUCCUCCGCAUCUCUACGCAUUUCACUGCUACACGCGGAAUUCCACCCCCCUCUGCCACACUCAAGCCCGCCAGUUUCCACUGCCAUUCCCAGGUUAAGCCCGGGGCUUUCACAGCAGACAUAACGAACCGCCUACGCACGCUUUACGCCCAGUAAUUCCGAUUAACGCUCGCACCCUACGUAUUACCGCGGCUGCUGGCAC
rnacentral:rRNA from 1 species